UGUUUUUCACCACUCUCAGCAUAAAAUGGAUGAGGAAUGUGAAACACAUCAGAUGCAUUAGCCGUUGUUCUGUGUUCCCGAUACAGAUCAAAUCAAUAACAAGUCUGAAGUCAGAGAGUCAGUCUCGGGCCCUUUCAAGUGUCUGUUUUUCUUCUGCUGGGGUUUGAGAGGCUCUUGUUUUAUGUCAUGUCUUGUGCCGAAGUCUGUGGGACUCCAAAGGGCCUCUCACCUGUGUGAGGAGAAGCUGUGAACCCAUCAAACCGACAGGGAGCUUUGUGAAGACAGGCAUGAAGCAGACUGCACCCACAGCACACGUCACGGCCCGUUAGGAGAAGCCGAACGCACUAAAGAGGUUAAACUGCCGCGCCUGGCAGAGGCAAUUUUAUUGAUAACCAUUUGAAGCCUUUUUUUCCUGCCCGUCUCCGAGCCUUACGUGCCAUCACGCUUUUCCGUCUUUAUUCCGUUUGCCACUCUCAACUGACUUCAAAUGUGGGAAGCCUCUCCCUCCGACAGAAAAGAAGCUGCCGUUGCCUCUUUCCCGCUGUCUCAGCCGUGAAGAGCUGCAGUCUGAUCUGGCAGACAAUCGUCGGCAAAUUCCCACAUCUCUCUGAUCUGCUCGGGCGCUCCAUCAUUUCCUCGUUAGCCCCUGGUCCCUGCCCUGGCCUGAAGUCAUCGCUCAGUUAGGCAGCUGGCAGGCCAGCCCUGAGGGUCCCCAGUGUGUUUUCCAGCAUUUCCCCUCGUCUCUCCAGCCAACUAAGUUUAUGCAGAGGACAAUUGUGAGUAGGGUAACACAGCGACAGUGUCCCAACCACCUUCCCCUGGGGGUCACGGGUGUCGUGACCCUGCAGCAGGUGCCACUGAUCUCGUUGCCCAUCGCUGUCCCAGUUUCCCAGAUUUCUGUCCACACCUGCGCUAGGGUGAAGAUUUUCCAUUUAGUGUGAUCAGAAUGAUUAUUAUUCUUAGGAAACUGAUUAUUUUGAUUAAGUGAUUUAGGUUUUUUUUUUUAAUCCUAAAUAAUACUAAAUGUAAAUGAAUGAAAAUAAAAUUUAUUUCGGAGCUUUAUGUAGGUAUGUUUUAAUUGUAACACCGAGUUAAUAUUAUUCCAGCCAUAAAUCAAUACCUUUUCCACAUUUCUGUAUCUUAAUAUUUAAUAUUAAUUUGAAUCUAAUUUAAUGCUUUAGAUCUUUAACUAUCCAUGCUAUUUCUCUGCUCAAAUAAUGUACAUAUUUUAUGUAUUAUCUCUGUUUUGGUAAAUGGUUAUUUUACCCUAACAAUGUAUAUUUUAUUAUUAUUAAAUUGUAUUAUAUUACUUUUUUACAUUUAAAUACAUUUAAAUGAAGUGUGAAGCAGGUUUGUUUCAAAGAAAUAGAGAGAAAGGACAUAAUGAACGUGCAGAUGUUUCUGUUCCUUGCACUGAAUUUCAUUUGAAGCAACGUGACAAAAAAUGGCAAUCGUCAGAAAAACAUGGGAAAAAGACAGUCGUCCAAAUCACGAUGCAAAUUGCACUUUGAUUGACUCUUAAUUUCAUCUGAAGGCUGUUUUGUUUGGUUUUUAUUCUGAGUCAAUGAGCUUAAUCAGAGUCACUGAUCCUGCGGCUCUAAGCUCUCCGUGUUGUGUUUUUGUUUGUCGGGAGAUCAGCGAGACUCUAUCCGCACUUCAUUAACCCUGAGCCGGGGACAAUCCUCGGUAAGAGCCGAGGGAUUUACCACUAUCCUUUCACAUGCAAAAAUCUCUGCGUCUAUUAACAAGACCGAGGAGCUUUUCUUGCAAUCAGCUGCGCACUUCGCAAGAAUAACCCUUUUCAUAAAGAUUGAGGGGGGUCAUCAGCCUCCUUUGGAUCAUGUGUAGAUCCAUGUGAUAAUUUAAAUGUUUGAUCUGAAUUGAUAUGUCUUUUUUUUCUUUUCUUUUCUUUUCACUUGUGCAUGUGUUUUAAAGAAAAGCGAACAUUUCUUAAAUUGCUUUUAAUGCCUUGGUGAACAUUUUUUAUUGCGUGUAUUUCAAUUGUUAUUUUAUUAGCAUUAUUGCCAUAGUUUUCCAUUUUUAUGCUUUAGAUAUAUUGUGUGCAAAACAAGCAUGCAAAUUAAUUAUUUUGAAAUUGUACUUAAAAAAUAAUAAAGAAUAUAUAUAUAUAUAUCUUCUUCUUUUUUUGCGCAUUUCCCCGCCUCAAUAACAUGCCAUUAAUUUUUGAAACGUUCUUAAAAUGCUUUCUCUCUCUCUUCUUAGUGAUUCAUGGACAGGAGCCCAGCGAUGAGACGCAGGAUGACAUGUGCUAUAUGCGAAAGUUUGCAGCAGGAGCCCGACUGAUCACAUGUUAUCGACGUUCAAUUAAAAGCUAUUAAGGUCUUUUGUCUGCUCGUUAAUAUCCCAUUCAGCCGCCCUGUCAGAGCGGUCCCUAAACCCUGAGCUUUACGGACCGGUCUCAUGGUUGGGUUAAAGUCAGUCUUAGACUCACGGAGGGGGGAUGAAGGGGGGUCCCGUCAUGCCGCUGACCAGAUGUCCCCUUGCUGAUCCGAGCCGCAGUCAGCGCUGCCCGGUGACCAGCUGUUGGGGCCGUUUGGCAAAGAGCAGCAAACCAACACUCUCAAGAAAGGGUAUGGAAACAAUCCAUUUCCAAAUGGGAUCAUUUAGGGCACUUAAACAAUUACACACUUAGGUGACCAUUAAUAUUUCAUCCACAUAUUGUUUAUGAAAACUAAAUGAAAAGACUCCGCUUGCUUAGUGAUGCAUGAGGCUGUUUUAAGAGUGCAAAAAAGCCUGUCACUUUACUCUUGUAGACAAGACAAGUGUUGAGUGUGUGUGUGUGUGUGUGUGUGUGCGUGCGCGCGCGUGUGAGAGAACGAGAUCAGUACCCACAACCAACGUCCAAUCUCUCAGUAUUUCCCUUUUAUCGUGCUGCCAAUAAAAUGAACAUCGUUUUAAAUUGUAUUGAGACCGGCUCAUAUGAUUCAUGAUCAAAAUGAUAUUUAAAAUGUGACCUAUUAAUAAGAGGUAGUCGCGUUAAACUUUAAGAUAUGAAGGUAGAAUUAAGUUCCCAAAUCUCCAGGCGUUUCUGAAAGGUUAGGGAGGUGAAUGUUCACUUCCUUGGGUGCGACAUUCUUAUUAACUUUUUUUUUUUCGUAGGUUCGACAAAUUAAAUCCACGAUGCUAACCAAAUAGUGUGGGGUUUGAGCAAAGUGUCUGACAGUCAUGUUUAAAAUUAUUCAAACACAUUUGCCAGUUAUAGAGUUCUGUGAGCUCGAAUUUUAUGAUAUUGCUAUCACAGCGUUUGUUUACGUUUAUUUUCAUAAGCAAACUUUUACUUUUCAUGAAAUUUCUAGAUACCUUUUCAAAGCAGUGACUUGACGUAACCGGUGUAACUAAUAUGCGUAUUUUAUUGGUUUUUCUAUGUUGAAACUUUGUCCUUCGUAACUUUUAAAAACGAAACCUUUUAGGACAAUUUAGCCUGCGUUUAUGGAUAAUAAACCAUGAAUUAUUUUAACGACUCGUUUUUUCCCCCCACACCGUGUUGACCUAUUUAUUUGACAAAAUAAAUAAAAUAUGACAUUUAUCUUUUCAAUUAUACAAAUAAUAAAAUUAUAAUUUAGUGUUGGCCCACUUAUCGCGUUACCAGAAAUUCACAAUGUGUAUUAUUUUCGUGCAAUUACUCCUGAAUUAGAAUUAUCAUUCAGGUAGUUACAUACAAAACAAAAAUGUUUAUAGUAGGCUAUCCAUGUCAAAUUGACUCUGGUUCUGGUUCUUGUUGCAAAGCACAGGAUUGUCAAGUUUCUUAAUUCAUACAUUUGCGUGUCAAUGUUCAGG